CCCCUCUCAGGGAUGCACCUAGAGAGUUUCCAGUACUCUGCCAGUCUUGGCUAUGGGAGGUAGAGUCAAGCAGAGGCCUACUCAUUCCAAUCCUAGCUUGGACAGUGGCUAGCGAGUGGAAGGCAAUCUGCUACAAGU